rnacentral:tRNA from 1 species
GGGCGGUUAGCUCAGCGGUAGAGCGUCGGCCUUACAAGCCGAAGGCCGGAGGUUCAAGUCCUCCACCGCCCACC